rnacentral:misc_RNA from 1 species
AAUCUCAUUACUAGAGGCUCUCACAGGGAAGACUGUUGACUUAAGAACCUUGGAUGGAAGGUAUCUUACUAUCCCAGUAACAGAUAUUAUCAAACCGAGCCAUGAGAUCGUGAUAUUGAAUGAAGGAAUGCCCAUCUCAAAAGAACCACACAAGAAAGGAAAACUUAGAAUCAAGUUUGAUGUGACAUUCCCAUCAAGACUGACUGCAGAACAGAAAUCUGAUCUCAAG